CAGUAGCCGCGGGAACACGUAGGGUGCGAGCGUUAAUCGGAAUUACUGGGCGUAAAGCGUGCGCAGGCGGUUUUGUAAGACAGAGGUGAAAUCCCCGGGCUCAACCUGGGAACUGCCUUUGUGACUGCAAGGCUAGAGUACGGCAGAGGGGGAUGGAAUUCCGCGUGUAGCAGUGAAAUGCGUAGAUAUGCGGAGGAACACCGAUGGCGAAGGCAAUCCCCUGGGCCUGUACUGACGCUCAUGCACGAAAGCGUGGGGAGCAAACAGGAUUAGAUACCCCCGUAGUCCCUGUCUCUUAUAC
rnacentral:rRNA from 1 species